UUGAGCCGAGAGGGUCAUAGGUAUGGCAGCCUUUAGGAUGGGAAAGUUGACAACCAUAUCUUCAGGUCUGAUAUAUGCAUCUAUAAAUGUGCAUCUAGUCAAAGAAGAGGAACCCAAAAAGCAGCUAGUGAGACCAGACCAGCUCCCCAUAUAUACUGCACCAACCCUCCAUUCUAAAUAUGUUGAAGAACAGCCUGGUAAUUUACAAAGGGGCUUUGCAUCCAUCCGUACUACAACCGUGUAUUAUAUUGGCUGGUGCAAGAACAUUUAUCUCUUUAUGAAGAAUGGGGUUAUGGAUACAGUACAGUUUGGAAAAGAUGCAUAUGUCUAUCUGAAGAAUCCUCCCCAAGAUUUUCUCCCCAAAAUGGGAGUGAUUACAGCUUCGGGACUGGCAGGUUUGGUUUCAGCAAGAAAAGGUUCUAGGUUUAAGAAGAUCACUUAUCCACUAGGACUGGCCACAUUAGGAGCAACUGUUUGCUACCCAGCUCAGUCAGUAAUAAUUGCAAAGAUAACUGGGAAAAAGGCAUAUGCUACAAGCCAGAAAAUUUUUCAAGCCAUUAAGUCAUUGUGGACACAAAACAGUGAAAACGAAUCAUUCCCUGAAACAAAGGAAGAAAGCAAGGAAGGAAGGUCUGAUGAAAUCCAUGCCAACUUGCCUGACCUGAAACAUUCAGUGUCUUUGCCAAAAGAACUUGCCUCUGCGACAGUGAUUAAAUCAGAAUCCACCUCAGGUACUACACAGUUUAUUCCUGACCCUAAGCUCAUGGAUCACGGACAGUCUCAUCCAGAUGAUAAAGAUAUGUACAGCACUAGAAGCUGAACUAGUUUGCAGAGGGAGCCUGCAUAGAGAACUGCAAGAUGUACCAAGUUACAAACAAUGGUGAAAAAUUACAUAAUGAAUGGGUAACUGACAGAAUGUGACUUGAAAUUUUUCCAUGACAUUUUCAAAUAAACAGUUUGGCCAAUGAAACAAGUGUUAAAAUCAUAAAUUAAUGAAUGCAACACAAAUAAUAUUAAGUGAUUGAUGUGUGAACUGAGGUAAAAAUACUAGAAGUACAUUNCAUGACUUGUAAUAGAAUUUAUUAGAAAGCAAAAUGAAGAUAUGUCCAUAAGACUGAAUUCUAUAAACGUAUGUAUGUAUGUAUGUAUGUAUGUAUGUAUGUAUGUAUGUAUGUGUCUGCUUCAGUUUUCCCAAUUAUUGCCAGUUAACUUAGAAUGGGGGUAGAUGAAUGUGUUUUUUACUUGACUUUUUUUUUAGAGCUGGAAUAAAUUAUCCAUAUUUUAUGGCAAAAAAAAA